AUGAACGCUAGCUACAGGCUUAACACAUGCAAGUCGAGGGGCAUCAGGAAGAAAGCUUGCUUUCUUUGCUGGCGACCGGCGCACGGGUGAGUAACACGUAUCCAACCUGCCCUUUACUCGGGGAUAGCCUUUCGAAAGAAAGAUUAAUACCCGAUAGUAUAAUGAUUCCGCAUGGUUUGGUUAUUAAAGGAUUCCGGUAAAGGAUGGGGAUGCGUUCCAUUAGGUUGUUGGUGAGGUAACGGCUCACCAAGCCUUCGAUGGAUAGGGGUUCUGAGAGGAAGGUCCCCCACAUUGGAACUGAGACACGGUCCAAACUCCUACGGGAGGCAGCAGUGAGGAAUAUUGGUCAAUGGGCGAUGGCCUGAACCAGCCAAGUAGCGUGAAGGAUGACUGCCCUAUGGGUUGUAAACUUCUUUUAUAUUAGAAUAAAGUGCAGUAUGUAUACUGUUUUGUAUGUAUAAUAUGAAUAAGGAUCGGCUAACUCCGUGCCAGCAGCCGCGGUAAUACGGAGGAUCCGAGCGUUAUCCGGAUUUAUUGGGUUUAAAGGGAGCGUAGGUGGACUGGUAAGUCAGUUGUGAAAGUUUGCGGCUCAACCGUAAAAUUGCAGUUGAUACUGUCAGUCUUGAGUACAGUAGAGGUGGGCGGAAUUCGUGGUGUAGCGGUGAAAUGCUUAGAUAUCACGAAGAACUCCGAUUGCGAAGGCAGCUCACUGGACUGCAACUGACACUGAUGCUCGAAAGUGUGGGUAUCAAACAGGAUUAGAUACCCUGGUAGUCCACACAGUAAACGAUGAAUACUCGCUGUUUGCGAUAUACAGUAAGCGGCCAAGCGAAAGCAUUAAGUAUUCCACCUGGGGAGUACGCCGGCAACGGUGAAACUCAAAGGAAUUGACGGGGGCCCGCACAAGCGGAGGAACAUGUGGUUUAAUUCGAUGAUACGCGAGGAACCUUACCCGGGCUUAAAUUGCAGUGGAAUGAUGUGGAAACAUGUCAGUGAGCAAUCACCGCUGUGAAGGUGCUGCAUGGUUGUCGUCAGCUCGUGCCGUGAGGUGUCGGCUUAAGUGCCAUAACGAGCGCAACCCUUAUCUUUAGUUACUAACAGGUCAUGCUGAGGACUCUGGAGAGACUGCCGUCGUAAGAUGUGAGGAAGGUGGGGAUGACGUCAAAUCAGCACGGCCCUUACGUCCGGGGCUACACACGUGUUACAAUGGGGGGUACAGAAGGCAGCUACCUGGUGACAGGAUGCUAAUCCCAAAAGCCUCUCUCAGUUCGGAUCGAAGUCUGCAACCCGACUUCGUGAAGCUGGAUUCGCUAGUAAUCGCGCAUCAGCCACGGCGCGGUGAAUACGUUCCCGGGCCUUGUACACACCGCCCGUCAAGCCAUGGGAGCCGGGGGUACCUGAAGUACGUAACCGCAAGGAGCGUCCUAGGGUAAAACUGGUGACUGGGGCU
rnacentral:rRNA from 1 species